rnacentral:lncRNA from 1 species
UCCUAAUGCUUAUAUUGUGAUGAAAGUCAUCUUUGGCUUACGUGCAUAGAUGGACUGUUGGUUGAUAUGAUUAUGACCAGGGAUUAUUCGGUAUAAUCAUGACCAUUGAUGAUUACAUGAAUAUCAUUGGCCCGUAGUGCAGGGAUGAUUCGAUGAUGUGGUUUAUUUAUUAAGUUGAGUCUCAGCGAUAAAGUUGAUGAAAA